rnacentral:rRNA from 1 species
GUUAAAGCGCCCGUAGUUGGAUCAGCGGAUUUGGAGAACGGUCUGCCGAUGGGCUGUACUGUUCUCCUGUCCUAUUUUCUCUAGUUCGCUCUAGGUGCUCUUCACUGAGUGUCUAGAGUGGCUGGAACUUUUACUUUGAAAAAAUUAGAGUGCUCAAAGCAGGCGUCUCAGCCUGAAUAGUGGUGCAUGGAAUAAUGGAAUAGGACCUCAGUUCUAUUUUGUUGGUUUUCGGAACAUGAGGUAAUGAUUAAGAGGGACAGACGGGGGCAUUCGUAUAGCGACGUUAGAGGUGAAAUUCUUGGAUCGCCGCAAGACGAACUACUGCGAAAGCAUUUGCCAAGAAUGUUUUCAUUAAUCAAGGACGAUAGUUAGAGGUUCGAAGGCGAUCAGAUACCGCCCUAGUUCUAACCGUAAACGAUGUCAACCAGCGAUCCGCAGGAGUUAUUCAUGACUCUGCGGGCAGCUUCCGGGAAACCAAAGUUUUUGGAUUCCGGGGGGAGUAUGGUUGCAAAGCUGAAACUUAAAGGAAUUGACGGAAGGGCACCACCAGGAGUGGAGCUGCGGCUUAAUUUGACUCAACGCGGGGAAACUCACCCGGCCCGGACACCGUAAGGAUUGACAGAUUGAGAGCUCUUUCUUGAUUCGGUGGGUGGUGGUGCAUGGCCGUUCUUAGUUGGUGGAGCGAUUUGUCUGGUUAAUUCCGAUAACGAACGAGACUCUAGCCUACUAAAUAGAAGGCAAAUUAUUCGUUUGCUGUACUUCUUAGAGGG